rnacentral:rRNA from 1 species
UUGGACGCUGGCGGCAGGCCUAACACAUGCAAGUCGAGCGGAUGAAGGGAGCUUGCUCCUGGAUUCAGCGGCGGACGGGUGAGUAAUGCCUAGGAAUCUGCCUGGUAGUGGGGGAUAACGUCCGGAAACGGGCGCUAAUACCGCAUACGUCCUGAGGGAGAAAGUGGGGGAUCUUCGGACCUCACGCUAUCAGAUGAGCCUAGGUCGGAUUAGCUAGUUGGUGGGGUAAAGGCCUACCGAGGCGACGAUCCGUAACUGGUCUGAGAGGAUGAUCAGUCACACUGGAACUGAGACACGGUCCAGACUCCUACGGGAGGCAGCAGUGGGGAAUAUUGGACAAUGGGCGAAAGCCUGAUCCAGCCAUGCCGCGUGCGUGAAGAAGGUCUUCGGAUUGUAAAGCACUUUAAGUUGGGAGGAAGGGCAGUAAGUUAAUACCUUGCUGUUUUGACGUUACCAACAGAAUAAGCACCGGCUAACUUCGUG